CUUAAUGAAACAUCAUUUUUGUCUCCUAGGUUUAUAGUGCAAUGACUGAUAACACAACACAGGACCUGUAUAUUUUCCAAUGUCGCCCUGGAUCUCUGCCUGUCCCUACAGCCUUUUGGGGAGGUUGUGGUGUAUAGUGUGAUGAUGUUUUCUAAUGCAAUAACCAGGAGUUUCUUUUGGGGUAGUUGGAGUUGGAGUGUCACAAUGUAUCUACAUCCAUCCAGCAUGUAGGCAGCUCUGGGCUGUCAGCCUGCAGCUCAGCAAAGACGACUCUGCGCAAGCCGAAGAGAAGCAGUAUAUUUUAUGCCUCUUGUAUGUAAUGGAAUCAUGGUUUUUUUUAGUUUCAGAAGGGAGCACACUGACUUGCUGUCAUCAGAAUGCCCUUGGAGCCACGAGCAGAUGAAAAUUGCUCACAUGUCUAAUUUUUUACUGAGUUAAGACUUAAUGAAAGGCUUAAAUGGACUACAAAUUGCUGAAUAUAUUGCAGACCUGUGGCACUCCUGAUUUACUUCUGUGACAGCUUAAGACCUAAAUUUACAAUUUUAGUACCAAUCGUAAAUUUCUCAGGCUUCUUUACAGUAUCUUUGAAAGACAGAGUGGAGUAGCUGCUAUUCUACUUUUAAGAAUGCAUAUUUUUUUGUGGAAUUUGUGAAGCCGUUUUGUACUUUGUUCUAAUAUUGUUCUUUGUCACUGGGUCAUGGAAUAAGUAAGGGAAUGGGAGGCUAUGUAACUUUUAUGUAGGUAUCUGAA